rnacentral:rRNA from 1 species
AUUGAACGCUGGCGGAAUGCUUUACACAUGCAUGUCGAGCGGCAGCGCGGGGCAACCUGGCGGCGAGCGGCGAACGGGUGAGUAAUGCAUCGGAACAUGUCCAUGUCGUGGGGGAUAGCCCGGCGAAAGCCGGAUUAAUACCGCAUACGCCCGAGAGGGGAAAGUGGGGGACCGCAAGGCCUCACGCGAUUGGGUUGGCCGAUGUCCGAUUAGCUAGUUGGCGGGGUAAGAGCCCACCAAGGCGAUGAUCGGUAGCUGGUCUGAGAGGAUGAUCAGCCACACUGGGACUGAGACACGGCCCAGACUCCUACGGGAGGCAGCAGUGGGGAAUUUUGGACAAUGGGGGCAACCCUGAUCCAGCCAUUCCGCGUGAGUGAAGAAGGCCUUCGGGUUGUAAAGCUCUUUUGUCCGGAACGAAACGGUGAGCGUGAAUAUCGCUCGCUACUGACGGUACCGGAAGAAUAAGCACCGGCUAACUACGUGCCAGCCGCCGCCGUAAGAC